CCUACGGGGCGCAGCAGUGGGGAAUAUUGGACAAUGGGCGAAAGCCUGAUCCAGCCAUGCCGCGUGUGUGAAGAAGGCCUUCGGGUUGUAAAGCACUUUCAGUGGGGAAGAAAGCCUUGGGGCUAAUACCCUCGAGGAAGGACAUCACCCACAGAAGAAGCACCGGCUAACUCCGUGCCAGCAGCCGCGGUAAUACGGAGGGUGCGAGCGUUAAUCGGAAUUACUGGGCGUAAAGCGCGCGUAGGCGGUCUGAUAAGCCGGUUGUGAAAGCCCCGGGCUCAACCUGGGAACGGCAUCCGGAACUGCCAGGCUAGAGUGCAGGAGAGGAAGGUAGAAUUCCCGGUGUAGCGGUGAAAUGCGUAGAGAUCGGGAGGAAUACCAGUGGCGAAGGCGGCCUUCUGGACUGACACUGACGCUGAGGUGCGAAAGCGUGGGUAGCAAACAGGAUUAGAUACCCCGGUAGUC
rnacentral:rRNA from 1 species